UACGUAGGGUGCGAGCGUUGUCCGGAAUUAUUGGGCGUAAAGAGCUCGUAGGCGGUGUGUCGCGUCGGCCGUUGGAAAACUUGCAGCUUAACUGUGGGCUUGCGGUCGAUACGGGCAUCACUGGAGUUCGGCAGGGGGAGACUGGAAUUCCUGGUGUAGCGGUGAAAUGACGCAGAUAUCAGGAGGAACACCGGUGGCGAAGGCGGGUCUCUGGGCCGAUACUGACGCUGAGGAGCGAAAGCGUGGGGAGCGAACAGG
rnacentral:rRNA from 1 species